rnacentral:tRNA from 8 species
GCGCCGGUAGCUCAGCUGGAUAGAGUGUCUGACUACGAAUCAGAAGGUCGGGGGUUCGAGUCCCUUCCGGCGCACCA